rnacentral:rRNA from 1 species
GAUGAACGCUGGCGGCGUGCUUAACACAUGCAAGUCGAACGGAAAGGCCACAGCUUGCUGUGGUACUCGAGUGGCGAACGGGUGAGUAACACGUGGGUAAUCUGCCCUUUACUUCGGGAUAAGCUUGGGAAACUGGGGCUAAUACCGGAUAGGAAUCACAUGUGCGUGUGGGGUUUGAAAGCAUUUGCGGUAUGGGGUGAGCUCGCGGCUUAUCAGCUCGUGGGUGGGGUAUUGGCCGACCAAGGCGUCGACGGGUAGCCGGCCUGAGAGGGGGAACGGCGACAAUGGGACUGAGAGACGGCCCAGACUCGUACGGGAGGCAGCAGUGGGGAAUAUUGCACAAUGGGCGCAAGCCUGAUGCAGCGACGCCGCGUGCGGGAUGACGGCCUUCGGGUUGUAAACUCCUUUCGUCAGGGACGAAGCGAAAGUGACGGUACCUGGAUAAGAAGCACCGGCUAACUACGUG